GCGGGUGUGGUGGAACGGCAGACACGCUGGUCUUAGGAACCAGUUCGCAAGAGUGUGGGUUCAAAUCCCACCACCCGCACCA
rnacentral:tRNA from 1 species